rnacentral:rRNA from 1 species
GACGAACGCUGGCGGCGUGCUUAACACAUGCAAGUCGAACGGUGAAGCGCCUUCCUUUUUGGUGGGUGUGGAUGAGUGGCGAACGGGUGAGUAACACGUGAGUAACCUGCCCCCUUCUUCUGGAUAACCGCAUGAAAGUGUGGCUAAUACGGGAUAUUCUGGGUCUGUCGCAUGAUGCGUCUGGGAAAGAUAUUGUUUCGGUGGGGGAUGGGCUCGCGGCCUAUCAGCUUGUUGGUGGGGUGAUGGCCUACCAAGGCGGUGACGGGUAGCCGGCCUGAGAGGGUGGACGGUCACACUGGGACGGAGACACGGCCCAGACUCCUACGGGAGGCAGCAGUGGGGAAUAUUGCACAAUGGGCGCAAGCCUGAUGCAGCGACGCCGCGUGAGGGAUGGAGGCCUUCGGGUUGUGAACCUCUUUCGCCAGUGAAGCAGGCCUGCCUCGUUUGUGGGUGGGUUGACGGUAGCUGGAUAAGAAGCGCCGGCUAACUACGUG